AUGCACGCUGGCGGCGUGCCUCAUCCAUGCAAGUCGAGCGAACAGACGAGGAGCUUGCUCCUCUGACGUUAGCGGCGGACGGGUAAGUAACACGUGGAUAACCUACCUAUAAGACUGGGAUAACUUCGGGAAACCGGAGCUAAUACCGGAUAAUAUAUUGAACCGCAUGGUUCAAUAGUGAAAGACGGUUUUGCUGUCACUUAUAGAUGGAUCCGCGCCGCAUUAGCUAGUUGGUAAGGUAACGGCUUACCAAGGCAACGAUGCGUAGCCGACCUGAGAGGGUGAUCGGCCACACUGGAACUGAGACACGGUCCAGACUCCUACGGGAGGCAGCAGUAGGGAAUCUUCCGCAAUGGGCGAAAGCUUGACGGAGCAACGCCGCGUGAGUGAUGAAGGUCUUCGGAUCGUAAAACUCUGUUAUUAGGGAAGAACAAAUGUGUAAGUAACUAUGCACGUCUUGACGGUACCUAAUCAGAAAGCCACGGCUAACUACGU
rnacentral:rRNA from 1 species